AAAUUCCGCCGCGGGGCUUUGCAGGUCUUGCUACCCAGUAGCCCUCAGAAGACAGCCAAUUCCUGCGCGUUCCGCUCUGCUCACUCUCCUUCCCAGCUUCUCUCUCUCUCUCUUUUUUUUUUUUUUUUUUCCCCACGCUCGCUCGCCUUGAACCGGGACCCAGGCAGGCAGAAGCAAGGCAUCGGUCCCCUUGCUCCUCUCCUCCACCAAACCACCGCAGCCGAGCGCGUGAAGCUUCCCUUUGUUCAACGAGGCUCCGCUCUCCUCCCCAGCAGAUCCACCUGGACGCUCUCCCUCGAGCGGCGCGGGGAGCCCAGGGGAGAUGCCGGACCACCCACUGGCGGGGAAGCAGCGAGCCGCCCUCCCGCGCCCCCGCGCUACCGAGCGCCCCUUGCCUCCGCGCUCCGGCGUUUGCCCGCGCCGGCCGCGGCUCCGCCGCGCCGCCGCCACCCGCCCGGCCGCCCCGCAGCCCAGCCGCCCCGCCGCCCCGCGCCGCGCCGCUCCGGCCCCGGCCACCGCCGCGGCGCAGUAAGUUGGCAGCAGCGAGUCCCCUCCGUUCUCGCCUCCCCCGCACCUUUUGAACUUGUUGCUGCUGCUCGGCUCGCCUGCUCCUGGCUUUUGGAAGGUGAAAAGGAGGAGGGAGGCACGGAGGGAUGGGGGAAGGGGAAGAAGAGCUCGCUUGAGCUUUAUUUAUGCUCCCAUCGGCGCGUCGGCUUAGGCUGUUCGCGAGCUGCUUUCUCGGGAGCCCUUUCCGGGUGCACGACGAGGAGAAAGUCUCUAUGCAACUCAGCCCCGGCGCGCACUUUACCAGGUAUGUACCGCGGGAGAAGCGCGUUCUGCGCGGAAGCAGAUGCUGCUGCCGCGGCAGCGGCGGCGCCUGCCAGCUCCCGGGCGCUGUAACUGUCACACUGUACCUGAGCUGAACUUGAAAAGAGAGUAAAGGGGAGAUUGGGCGAGCGCUUUCGGCAGAACCCGGGGGGUGCUCGUAGACGCGGGGAAGGAGGAUCUAUACUAACGGCCCCCCGCAGUCCGGCCCACCGCCCAGCACCUCGUCUCUGCAAAUAUACGGCCCGAGGAGUCGAGGCGGCCACCGGACUCCCCAGGAGACGUGGGGCAGCGGCUGGGACCGCACCUUGGAGGCUACUACAACAGGUCGCCUUUUUGAGACUCCUUUGGCGGGAAGGGCCACUUGGAAAAGGGAAGGUUUGAAAGAGCUGAAAGGGAGAGUGGAAGGGUUCCCUGAUUCUUCAACAGAAUACCACUCAGUGACUGUCCUUGUCUCUAUUCUACACAACACAUACUGACCCCACGUUAUCCAGACUGUGUCGGGGAAGAAAUCAGAGACACCUGUUUGAAAUCAACUGCAGCAUCUAAAGUCACCUGUGUACUUAUUUGUGCCAAGGCUGGCCCAGUCCAACUGCUGGAAAGGUUUGGUUAGGUUCUGUUGGGCGUGAUUAUUAGGACAUUGUAUUUCCCCCUUCCUGUUACUCCAAAAAUAUUACCUGUCUUUGAGGGAACUUGCCCUUUUGCGAACUGUGACUUCCAUCAGGAGCCCUCCCUUGAAUAAGGCUGAUACGUCUGGACCACGUGUCUCAGUAGUGUUUUCUUUGACGGGCAGAAGUGGGUGAUUGUGGCUACACUGAGGGAACCACUGUAGACUUGAUUGCCCUUCC
ensembl:lncRNA